AGGACGAACGCUGGCGGCGUGCUUAACACAUGCAAGUCGAGCGGAAAGGCCCUUCGGGGUACUCGAGCGGCGAACGGGUGAGUAACACGUGAGCAACCUGCCCUUAGCUCCGGGAUAGCUCCGGGAAACCGGAAUUAAUACCGGAUAUGACCUAGGCCGACAUCGGCUGUGGUGGUAAAGUUUUUCGGCUGGGGAUGGACUCGCGGCCUAUCAGCUUGUUGGUGGGGUAAUGGCCUACCAAGGCGACGACGGGUAGCCGGCCUGAGAGGGCGACCGGCCACACUGGGACUGAGACACGGCCCAGACUCCUACGGGAGGCAGCAGUGGGGAAUCUUGCGCAAUGGGCGAAAGCCUGACGCAGCGACGCCGCGUGGGGGAUGAAGGCCUUCGGGUUGUAACCCCUUUCAGCAGGGACGAAGCGAAGUGACGGUACCUGCAGAAGAAGCGCCGGCUAACUACGCGCCAGCAGCCGC
rnacentral:rRNA from 1 species